rnacentral:rRNA from 1 species
AACGAACGCUGGCGGCAGGCUUAACACAUGCAAGUCGAGCGCCCCGCAAGGGGAGCGGCAGACGGGUGAGUAACGCGUGGGAAUCUACCUAGCUCUACGGAAUAACCCAGGGAAACUUGGACUAAUACCGUAUACGUCCGAGAGGAGAAAGAUUUAUCGGAGUUAGAUGAGCCCGCGUUGGAUUAGCUAGUUGGUGGGGUAAAGGCCUACCAAGGCGACGAUCCAUAGCUGGUCUGAGAGGAUGAUCAGCCACACUGGGACUGAGACACGGCCCAGACUCCUACGGGAGGCAGCAGUGGGGAAUAUUGGACAAUGGGCGAAAGCCUGAUCCAGCCAUGCCGCGUGAGUGAUGACGGCCUUAGGGUUGUAAAGCUCUUUCAACGGUGAAGAUAAUGACGGUAACCGUAGAAGAAGCCCCGGCUAACUUCGUGCCAGCCGCCGCCGUAACAC